GUUGACUGACGCAAAGAGGAAAUUCUACUGCGCAUGAUUUUUGUGACAGCAGACAUUUACUUCCGGGCAAGACUUGGAGUUCUGACAGCUAGAUUUCAUCAAAUAAAUCAAGGCAUGGAUCUUGGAAAGACGCUUCCAUACAUCCCUCUUGAUUCCAAGGUGACGGGAUGUCACAGGUUGUGACGGUUCAAUGACUUCCAGGACGUCGAAAAGGGCUCUGUGGUCCUGCAGUACGCAGAUGAUCUUCUGGUAUCUGCUGAGUCACCAGAAAUCUGCCAAGACGCUUCCUUACGCCUGCUCCAACAUCUGGCGCACAAGGGCUUUAAGGUUUCCAGGACCAAGCUGCAAUAUUGCAUGGACACUGUUAAGUAUUUGGGGUUUUGAACUUUCACAAAGUUGUCGUAAGCUGUCAUCUGAUCGGGUGUGGGUGAUUCUAGACACAAAAUGCCCUGCAACUAAACAUGCACUGAUGGCUUUUCUGGGUCUUAUCAAUUACUGCAGACAAUGGAUCCCUGACUGCUCUUUAUAUGACAAGAUUCUCCGUUCUGCAAUUUCUCAUCACAAUCAACUGCAGCACCCUUUGACCUGGACUGACGCUAUGAUGGACGCUUAUCACUCCCUCAAAAGCGCUCUUUGUUCCGCCCCGGCCCUGGGUUUACCUGAUUACUCCAAGCCCUUCCAUCUCUAUGCCUGUGAACACCAAGGCACAGCCUCUGCGGUGUUGGCCCAGGAGCAUGGGGGGGGGGGGAUGUGUCCUUGUGUGUUUUUAUCCAAAACAUUAGACACUGUUGCUCAAGGCUUACCUGCAUGUCUAAGGGCUGUCUCCGCAUGUGCUCUGAUGGUUUUAGAUGCGGAAAAAUUGGUUUUGUCUCACCCAUUGAUUUUGCACUCGUCACAUCAAGUUAAAAAGGUGUUGCAAAAUUUACAGACCCAACAUAUGACGGCACAGCGCCACUCUGGAUACAAACCAUUCUCUGUUCUACUAACAAUCUCGAAAUUCAUGCUACAUCCUCUUUCGAUACUGUAGGUCAUGCUCUCGCAUGCCUUCUUAAUUCUCAGGAUGGUCGCCUUUGUCUUCCAUCCCAUUGCCUUCCCUUCCUCGUGCGCGAAUUUCAGGGCGUGACACAUCGCGCACGAAGGGGGGUGAAGGGGGACAUGAACAAACUGUAAAGAGUUUCAAGAAAUAUAACAAAAAAUAUAUUUUUAAAAAAAUUACCUACCUGAGCUUUAAUUUGUACUUUUACUGUGACUUAUGCUGAAUGCUUUAAUCUAUAAUUAUUAUCGAAGGACAGAAUUAGUCAGUUAAUAAACUAAUAGUCAUAAUAAGUAAUAUUUAUGAGUAAUAUUUACGCAUACUGUAUAUGAAUGAUUUUCUGUUUACUUUCCACACGUCUUUGACUCACACGUGUAUCGUAAAAGACUUUUUUAAUUCGUACCCACUCAAAGUCUCCGAAUAUGUACAUUCCAUUUAGAUUGGGGUAUUUACAGCCUCGGUAGACAUGGCCUCCUGUUACUGAUUUUCCCAUCUUAUGAGGAUAUGCAUAAAUCGGAAGAACAUCAUCUGAAAAAAGAAAGAAAGGAAAUGGCAUUGUAACAAUCUCGGUAACAUAACAGAGCAAGAAUGUUUCAGAUCUAACAGUUACCGGAAACGUUUAGUUUCAGUUAUUGCUGCACAAGGGGGUCACACCAGAUACUGAAAGCAAAGGUUCACACACUUUUGCCACCCACAGACAGGCAACACUGGAUCAUUUUCCUCAACAAACAACCAACCAAGCAUAAUACCCCUGCCUCACCCGCUCAACUGGGCUCUCUUUAUCUACUUUUAGGACUUGUGUGAAAAUCUGAUGAUGUUUUAGGUCAUAUUUAUGCAGAAGUAGAGAAAAUUCUAAAGGGUUCACAAACUUUCAAGCACCACUGUAGAUAACGAGUAAAUUUGCAUGACUGAGGAGGAUUGCUAUUUCUUUCCCCAUUUUUCUCAAUUCUCGAGAGAUGCCUCAUCUGUGCACAAAAUAAUCCCUCUAAAGCAGGCGUGGAACACGAGUGUUUACCCAUACCUACAUCUCCGUUCCUAGAAUGGCAAAUCGACUUCACAAACAUGCCUCCCUGUGGGCCGUUUAAAUAUUUCCUGGUGAUUGUGGACAAAUUCUCUAAAUGGGUAGAAGCCUUUCCCUGUUCUCGAGAAAACACGAAGGUAGUUACUCGUAUUCUGGCAAAAGAAAUAAUAUCUUGUUAUGGGGUUCCAGACGCCAUAGACUCAGGCUACAUCCACACGACAACGGCAACGAGAUGUUAUUUAAUAAAAUAUCGCGUCCACAUGGGCAACGAUCAGUAAAAUAUCAGGUCCAUAUGGCAACGCAACGCUUGCUGAAAACGAUGCAAUACACAUGCCACACCUCUAGGGGCGCUGUAAGAUGGUCCCUUCGGAGACACCAGAACAAUAGAAGUAAGAACGCAAUGCGCAUAAACUAUUAUGCGCGAGACUUCAUAUUAGCCACAAAGUCAGAAAAAUCUGUUCGUAAAAUUACAUUAUAAUGACCAAAUACAAUAAAAAGUAUUUUUCCAGGCUCACCUGUGAAAGGUAAUCCCAUGUGAUCUCGUUUGGACGGUAAACCUGUUGGUACAGUUAAACGCAGCACAUGAAUGAGGCAUCUUUAUUCUCCGCUUUGACCCAUCCAAUAUGGCGGCGAGGAUGAUGUAUGAUUCUACGCGGAAGGCGGCAUCUUUAAUGGUCCGGAAUAAAUUGAAUGCUACACGUUGAUGGAUUAAUUUGUUCUUCUAUGCCCUUUUUGAGGAAUGUAUUGUAGGACUUAAACCAACAUCUGAAGAGGUGAAAUCGCUCCUUUUUUUUCCCUAUUUUUGCUGGCGGGAUUGACUCUGCCCUAAGGGCUAUUCUCUCUCUCUCUCUCUCUCUGCACCAUUACACAAUAAAUAUUCACAGUGAAAAUAUUUUGUAAGCGCGUUUCAUGAACCAAGUUACAGGAUUUGUUGACAACUCGCAUCGAGUUCCUUACAGUUCUACCCGGCGUGAAGCACUCACAGUCAUGUGGUUGUGACGUCAUCGUAAACAAAUUCGCUCUACUCAUCCAGACGACUGCGCAACGGCAACGUUGCCAGAUCUUUCCACUCUGGAACCCAUUCUCAAAAGAUUGCGUUUUGGGGCACCCAAAACGCCGGUGCCGUGUGGACGCCAGGCCGAAACGAUAAACAAUUGUAUCGGAUUCACCUGAAUCCGUUGCCGUGUGGACAGGGCCUCAGACAAAGGUACCCCUUUUACCUCGAAAGUCACACAAAACCUUUGUAAGUAUCGCUCACUAAACUGGCGUUUUCACAUUCCGUACCACCCUCAACAUUGAAAGAUAAACUAACUAAGGCCAUACAGGCCACAGGUUCAAAAAAUUGGCUAGACUUAUUGCCAGCCACUCUGGCUGAAAUUCGUAUGACACCAAAGACCUAGCCUAGGGGGAUACUUCCCCUACGAAAUUAUUUUUGGAAGACCUUUCCCUCUCCCCUGGAAGAAGGGAACUCCGUCUCUGGGUACCUCUGAUUUGAAAACACAUAUGGAUGAGUAUUCUGCAGCCCUUAUAGAUAAGUUGCAUAAAAUUUGUACCAAGGUCAAUAGUACAAUAUUGUCUCCACCAGCAGCACCCACACAUCCCUUUCACGUGGGAGACAAGGUGCUGGUGCGACUUUUUAAACGAUUUGGACAAUUGGGAGAACCUAGAUAUACUGUAGUGGGCCUGCAGAAAGUGUCGCCAUUACUCAUACUGCUGUUCUAACUGAUCUUUUUCCACAGUGGAUCCAUGCCACGCGAUUGAAGAAGGCCCCAUAACAAAGCUGUGUUACAAUGACAAGUUUGCUAUUAACGUUUUUUCUGUGUCCUGCCCUAGUUUCUCCUCUACCUACACUCUGUACAGGGAUCCUGUAGGAACUGAGGAUCUUCAGAUCACUUCCUGUAAGAAGCCGUGAACAAAGAGGGGAUCUCGCGCCCCGUCUGGGACCAAUCACCCUCACUACAACCAUGAAAAUCCUCAUCACGAGCUUCGUGACCACUCUACUGCUGCUCGGAGUAGGGUUACCCGCUCGAGCUGGACCUCGAGACAACAUCUUUUGGCAAUUCGCUAACUGGACUGCACGAGCGCACACGAAUGAAAGUUAUGUCUGUCAUCUGAUGCUGCCUUCUAUUAUUACACGUCCACCUUUGCCUCUGUGCUCUGAAGCUCUGUAUUCUUACAGGACUCUGUUCUCAUUACUCUGCAGGUUGAUAUGCCCUCUAAUUUCAUUUUUCCUCACUGUUUUAGAACAAAUUACUCUGAAGGAAGUAGCGUGUAUUUGGGACAAAUUAAGAGGUUUCAAGUUUUUCUAAGCUCCGGUGAGGAGGGCCGAUAGGGCAUGCCCGCCCUCUGAGCACCAAUACACGUCAAGAAGAGCAAGGAUUAACUCAAGCAUACAUCUAAUCCUAAUUCUCGAUGUAAUCACAUAUAUGAUCAGAAUACUGGGGGUGUAAUACUAGUUGUAUCUAGUAUCAAAGAGGGGAAAUUGUAAGGAUUUAUUCUUAAGUGUAAGGAUUUAUUCUUAAUUGUAAGGAUUUAUUCUUGAUCUCAGUUUAACCAAGACUGACGUGCAAAUAUUUUGUGUUUAAUCUUAUGUGGACAUUCCAUUGCUAUUGCUCUGUGCUAUCUUAAGAACAGGCUGUGCGUAAGCAAUGGCCUUUGAUAUUAUAAGAACAUUGCUAUCAUAUCAGAACAUUUUGCUUAUUGAUCAGAAAUGUGUCUGAACAUUCCAAGGUCUUCAAUGAUGUCACACUCAUUCACACACACACAGCUGAUGUCCCCCUCACGCACACUGCCCCCCCCCACAUAGACACAGAUAUCAAAAUGAUGUCACUCACCCCCCCCCCCCCAUAUACAGUACACACAUACAGACAUAUAAAACCCCUCUGUACCCUUUCAUCUUUGGGGACUUGCGAAUAAAGAUUGUGAACUUA